UCCUCUUUUGCUACUCCCUGAGGGCCACAACCAUACUGCUAGACGGUUGGCUAUCUACAGAAAAAGCGCACACUUUUACUAAAUCGGUGGAUUGUUCCUCCAGCCACUUGCCUUCUUUGAGUGGUGCAAUAUUAAGUAUUCCUCCAGAGAAAAAGCUGUGGUUGAAGCAGUCUCGUUGUUUUUUUUAAAAAGAGUGUUCCAUACCAUCUUAUUUUUAAUCCUGAAGGACUAGGGAAACAUUUUUUAUUUUAUUUUUACAUUUAGAUGUUUAAAAAUAAAAUGGAACGAGAAUGUCUUUCAGAAAAAGAAACAAAGAAGCAAAAUCCACCAGAAGCCGGGCAUUUGUAGAACAAUCCCUCCUCAGGCAUCCUCACAUUUGACUUUCAGCUGUCUUCUUGAAGACUUUUUUUUGCCUAUGCAGUUGUUUACCAUUUUCUUGAGUCAUUUGAGUGAUAGUUUUGUACUACUUUUAAGAGGGAGGGGGUAUACUUUUAUAUUGCUGCACCACGAUCCUGAUUUUGUAUGAGAAGGCAGUGUGUGUGCUCAGAGUUCAGCAAAAUAAUCUGAAAUAAGCAAGGAUCAGAGAGGUUAAGUUGAAAUUUAUUUUGAGAAACAAUGUUGGGGGCAUGUCAUGAGAAAGAAAAUGCAUGGAUGCAACUAUAAAUAUUUGGAAACAGCAAGUGUGACCGAGACUGAAGCAGCUGGGAGAAACUGGAGUCAGAGAAUAUUUUUGGGAGACAUUCCUUGUGUGGGCAUAGAAUGUGAAAUAAGGUUGGGAGUGGUUGGGUUCCGAAGCCUUCAAGGAGUCUGUGGCUGAGCUGGCGUUUGAACCCAAGAGCAAGGUUCUGCCCACUGAACAAUCCUUCAUUUGUACUGCUUAUACAUGUCUCAGCCUUGGUACACGGACAGCCAUACACAUAAAUAAAGCCUGAUCUAGCAAUUUCCUGUACUCUGCAGGGCACGAGUCUUGUGCACAACAGUCCCAUAUACAGAUGCCCUGCGCUCCAUUUGGAGGAAGGGCAAUAUAAAAAACCACGACUGAAUGAAUGUAGAUGAAUGGCAUCUGAAAGCACUUCAAAGGUUUUUGCUGGGACCAGUCGCCCUGUGCUGGAUGGACCAGCAAGAUGGCUUAUGAGAGGAAAGCAGUUUGCUUGCUCUGCAGGAUGAAUAAUCAGCUGAAACCUUCAAAAUAUUCCAUGAUCAGGCAAGUGGGCAGAUUCUCGGGCCAAGCAACACUGCAGCAGUGUCUCCAAAGUCUUGGGCAAGAGACAGGUUUACUUUGUGCUAAGCUCAACUCCUCUCUGUUUUCUUUGUCCCGCACUCAAAACUUCAUAUCCAGAGAUGGAUGCAUCAAUCCAUUUUUGGUCCAUGUCUAUUUCACACAUGCACAUGUUCUGCAUUAAUUGGCAACUUUAUUUUUAAAAAAUCACAAGAAAAUUUGUAUUUAAAUUCAUAUUUUUAUCACGUAUUAAUUUUGUGAUCAUAAGUCACGUUAAACAGCUUUUAAUAUUGUGCUUUAAUGCUGUCAGCUGCCAUGGGACUUUAGGGUGAA